AUUCUAUUAUUAUAUUUAGUAUAAUUAAUUGCAAAUUAAUAGGUUUAUAGAAUU
rnacentral:tRNA from 1 species